UACGGAGGGUGCGAGCGUUGUCCGGAAUCAUUGGGCGUAAAGGGCGCGUAGGUGGCGGGACAAGCGUUGCGGUGAAAGCUCGGGGCUCAACCCCGAGUCGGCCGUGCGAACUGUCUUGCUUGAGCACUGUAGAGGCAGGCGGAAUUCCGGGUGUAGCGGUGGAAUGCGUAGAGAUCCGGAAGAACACCGGUGGCGAAGGCGGCCUGCUGGGCAGUUGCUGACACUGAGCGCGA
rnacentral:rRNA from 1 species